UUUUUUUGAAUCUGAACUCAUAGGAUUAGACAAGUCUUCGUUAUCCCUUUCGAUCAAAACCAAUGCAAGAUCUUCUUUGUGAUCAAAUUUCUUUCAUAGAGUUUUUUUUUUGCAAAAUUUAACUAUGACGAAAACUUUGGAUCUUCCUCUUCAAUUGGGAUGAAAUCCAACAACGGAGAAAUGGUAACUUAACUUCGACAGGUUAAACCAUGAUGAGCC
rnacentral:lncRNA from 1 species